GGCCGCGUCGGGGUGCAGAAGAAGAUGGCGGUCUCCACAGGAGUUAAAGUUCCUCGUAAUUUUCGCUUGUUGGAAGAACUUGAAGAAGGACAAAAAGGAGUAGGCGAUGGUACGGUUAGCUGGGGCCUUGAAGAUGAUGAAGAUAUGACACUUACAAGGUGGACAGGCAUGAUUAUUGGGCCACCAAGGACAAAUUAUGAAAACAGAAUACAUAGCCUGAAAGUAGAAUGUGGGCCUAAAUACCCAGAAGCUCCUCCGUCAGUUAGACUUGUAACCAAAAUUAAUAUGAAUGGAAUAAAUAAUUCCAGUGGAAUGGUAGAUGCACGGAGCAUACCAGUAUUAGCAAAAUGGCAAAAUUCAUAUAGCAUUAAAGUUGUACUUCAAGAACUAAGACGUCUAAUGAUGUCCAAAGAAAAUAUGAAGCUUCCACAGCCACCAGAAGGACAAACAUACAACAAUUAAUUUUAGUGGAUCUCAAACUUGUCUUAAAUCAACAAUCUUCUACUCAUGUUAAUGUCUUGAUUAAAUAUCACAAUGCAAAAUACCCACACAUUAAGUAAAAGAAUGCCAG